AGUGGGGAAUAACUGUUGGAAACGACAGCUAAUACCGCAUAAUAUUGCUGGAUAAUUUCCAGUAAUGAAAGGAGCUUUCAAGCUCCGCUGAUUGAUGAGGAUGCGGCGCAUUAGCUAGUUGGUAGGGUAAUGGCCUACCAAGGCAAUGAUGCGUAGCCGAUCUGAGAGGAUGAACGGCCACAUUGGGACUGAGACACGGCCCAAACUUCUACGGAAGGCAGCAGUAGGGAAUUUUUCACAAUGGGCGAAAGCCUGAUGGAGCAAUGCCGCGUGACUGAUGAAGGUCUUCGGAUUGUAAAGGUCUGUUGUAAGGGAAGAAAUGGUAAAACAGGAAAUGGUUUUAUCUAUGACGGUACCUUACCAGAAAGCCACGGCUAACUAUGUGCCAGCAGCCGCGGUAAUACAUAGGUGGCAAGCGUUAUCCGGAUUUAUUGGGCGUAAAGGGUGCGUANACGGUUUUGCAAGUCUGAGGUUAAAUUUAGGAGCUCAACUCCUAAUCGCCUUGGAAACUACNAGACUAGAGUAUAGGAGAGG
rnacentral:rRNA from 1 species